GACGAACGCUGGCGGCGUGCUUAACACAUGCAAGUCGAACGGUGAAGCGCCUUCCUUUUUGGUGGGUGUGGAUGAGUGGCGAACGGGUGAGUAACACGUGAGUAACCUGCCCCCUUCUUCUGGAUAACCGCAUGAAAGUGUGGCUAAUACGGGAUAUUCUGGGUCUGUCGCAUGAUGGGUCUGGGAAAGAUAUUGUUUCGGUGGGGGAUGGGCUCGCGGCCUAUCAGCUUGUUGGUGGGGUGAUGGCCUACCAAGGCGGUGACGGGUAGCCGGCCUGAGAGGGUGGACGGUCACACUGGGACUGAGACACGGCCCAGACUCCUACGGGAGGCAGCAGGGGGGAAUAUUGCACAAUGGGCGCAAGCCUGAUGCAGCGACGCCGCGUGAGGGAUGGAGGCCUUCGGGUUGUGAACCUCUUUCGCCAGUGAAGCAGGCCUGCCUCGUUUGUGGGUGGGUUGACGGUAGCUGGAGAAGAAGCGCCGGCUAACUACGUG
rnacentral:rRNA from 1 species